UCCUUUUCCUUCUUGAUUUGGUUGUAUCUUUAUUGUGUAAACCUCUUAGAUACAAAGAUAAAGCAAAGCAAUAUACUUUGUAAGAAAACUUAAGGAGAGAGACAAGAAAAGCCAGAUGAGAUUUUACUUAUAUGAGGGAACCCUCAAACGGUUUUGAAAGAGAUGAGUCACCCAAUCAGUGGAAGAGUAGAUGUGUAUGAACACAAAGAGAGGACAAAGAAAUGUGAAAACGAGAGAUAGUAAAGAGUUAAGUAACAGACUGAAACUUUUCUAUCUAUGGUAACACAAGUGGAUGGACAAAAAAUGUAAGAUUCUUCUUUAUGAGAUUACAGAGUUCUUUUAUUAAAAAGAAAAGAGAAAUAAAUAAAUCAAUAAAUCGGCUACGUAGAAAAGUAAACAGAGAUAAAUAGUAAACAGAGAGGACCAGAAUUAUUUCAUAUUUGACUUAACCGAGACCAAACCAAAUUAUAUAUGGAUAUACACUGAGACAGAGACCAAACCAAACUCUUACUUCUCUUCUUUGCCUAUGUUUCUUCAAUGUUUUACUAAAAGAAUACUAUGACUGAUUUUGCGUCUAUACAUAAAAAUGUGGUUCGUUUCUUUUUGUGUUGUGUGAAAAGAAAUUAGGAAAUGUAAAUAUCAAUUAUUGUACGUAUAAUACCAAUUCAAAAAUUAGAAAGACCGUGAUAGCUUUGAUUAAAUAAAGCUAUAGGCUUACAAGUUCAUGAAAGUGAAACUAUAUAGAAGCGUGUGAUAAUUGUCAAGUCAAUGGUAUCAAUGUAUUUAUUGGAUUGGGUCAUAGACUCAUAGCAUUUAUUAAGAAACUCAUAGUUAUGCGUAGUUGUUGCAAAGUCAAAUUUUAUUAUUUUUUGGACCUUUUAACUUCGGACUAGGUGAUGACCCGCGCCCUGCGCGGGGUGAAUAGUCUCUGCGCGGGGUGAAUGAUCUAAAAGAGAUUAUACAUUUUAACCUAUAGUUAUUGAAAAGGUAAAACAAAAAGUGGCAUAUUAUACUUGGUAUAGAUUAGCAGAAGUAACGUUUGAUAUAAUGAUUAAUUCAAAGAAAACCAAUUUGGGAUUGGAAGUUAAUUUACUCGAUGUUUCAGUUAAAAAACAAGUUUACUGGAGUGUCCGGAUAACGAUAAUCUUAUUAUGGUCGAGAAACAGUAAUUGUCCUAUUAUCAAAGUUGUAUCGUUAUAUUUUAGUAAAAUUAUACUGAUUCCGGAGUACAUAAAAUUUAUAAAAGAAUAGAAAUAAAUUGAAGUAAAUAAUAUUAGGUCGGAAAAAAAAGUAAAUAAUAUGAGUUUACAAAUUUAGUGGGGUGAUUAGGACUCGAAUUUGUAAAAGAGGCCUAUUAUUGAACUUUAAUAUUGAUUGUGACUCAAAAUACAUAUGAGUCUCUUUUAAUUUAUCUUUUAUUUAAAAAGGUGUUUUUACUAAAAAAUCUCGAGGGGACACGAGAUAAGGGGCUACGGUUAAGCCUCUCCGCCCGAUCUAUCUUCUCAUCACCUGAGAAAUAAACAUAUUUCAUUAACUAAGCUCAAUCCCAAUAUAUAAGAAGAUUAAAAGCUGAAUCGAGUAACUCAAGUCUCAGGGAAUUUGAACCGAUGAAUUGUAGAUCGACAAAGGCCCUAUCAACAAACCUCCUGAAUAUUUGUUAAUUUCUAGAUGCAUCGAGGACACAGUAAGCUUUCAAUAUAAUCACUUAUAGUCCCCAUAUUAUUUGAAGUACUGUAUUUUGUCGACUUCGUGAAGCCGCAAGUGGUAUAUCUUAGUGAAAAGAAAGAGCUGGAAAAGACUCCUGCAAUUAAAACCGGAUAAGUGUGUACUGACUAUCGCUCCUGACAAAAUAUCUCCUGAAGUUUGUUUAAUUCGUUGACGCAGCGGUUACAUGUUUCCAUUUACAUGAAGUCGCAAAAGGUGUAUCACAUUCAUCGUGGACAGGUUAGAUUCCGACCUUAUCGUUUAUGGGUAAUAUAUAUUGCUUGAAAUUUAUUAACAAUCACAUGGAGGAUAAAGUUGAUACUUGAUGAUAAAAAGAUAGUAGUAAACUUAAAAUAAAUAGUCGUUAUCAAUAAAAGGCAACAAUUGCAUACUGAAAUAAAAUAUAACUCCAAGAAUGAUCAUGAACAUACCAACAUAGAACUUUGGAUGAGUUUAUAUACACAUAGACAAAAUGAGUUUAUAUACACAUAGUCAAAUAUCAUGAACAUACCAACAUAGAACUUUGGAUGAGAAAGACCAAGAAUGAUCCAACGGAAGUUGGCUAGACAAAUGUAGUUACAAUCAUUGAUCAGUUCAAUCUUGGAAACAACAUAUGAUUCAGAUAACUUGAUAUGUUAGGUGUCAAGGAAAAAUUAAACAGAAUCUUAGAACAUUGUUGUCUCAUUAAAGGAUCAAACUGUGAAACCAGUCCUUUCUAACCGAUGUAUGGAUUUUGUCUCCCUACAAUAUAAUAACAAAUGAAAGCAUCAGAUAAUAAACACAUAAUUUGCUUACGAUUUAAAGAAUAUACAUCAUAAGAAACCUAACUUUUUCGUCUACGAAAACCAUUCAAUGGUUUCUCCAGUAGGAGCCAAGUACUACUUCCAAAGUUUUAUGACAUUCACCAUAAUCUUCUACAAAAACUUUUUGGCUUCAAGUCAGAAAUGAAAUUCAUGCUUAAUAUAUUUUUGCUAGUUUUGAAACGUGUAGUUUGUGAUAUUGUAGCUAUAUGGAUGAUAUGAUAUAUAUAUAUAUAUAUAGUAACUGAUAGGGUUUUAACCCACGAGAUUUGAAAAAAUAAAUAAUUUUCGCCAUAAAGCAAUAUUACAAAUCCCUAAUUGUUAGUAGAUUUCCAGACAAGUAUAGAAAGUAAUAUACACAUAGGGAUAAAAUUAAGGAAGUCUACAUUAAGAAUGACAUAUUCUUUAAACUGAAUCGGAAAAUUUAAAUUUCCAAAUUUAAUGUCUGUCAACAUUUAUGUUAAUUACGUAAUCAAAAAGUCUUGUAAUCAAAAUUAAGAGAUAGCCUAGAAAAUUUUAAUACAGUUUCACCAAUUUUUGAAUGUAUUUUACUAUCACUCAAGAUUGCUUAUAAAUUUUUUAUAUACGACACUUUGAUUUUACAAUAUAAUUUUAUUUAUAUUUUCCAGUUUCAAAUUAAAUUUUACUCACAUAUAUAAUUGUCUCUAAAUAAACCAAAAUAAAUUUCACAAACCAAAUAAUUAUAGAAGAACAUAAUUAUGAAUCGUUUAUACAUUCCAGACCUUAAAAAAUGUCAUGUAUCAUUCAUAAAUCGUAGAAUAUUCAUAUUAUAACAAUAUAAAUCGUAUAUAUGGUCAAAAUAUCAUUUGUGACUAUAAAUAUCAGAUAAUCCUAUUAAUUUCGCAUAACAUUAUAAUCUUAGAUUUCCAGACAUUAUAGAAAGUCUUAUAUGCAAGGAGCAAAAAUAAAGAAAGUCCAUAAUAAAAUGAUAUUUGACUUUAAACUUAAUCAGAGAGGAAUGAUAUAAAUUACCAAAUUUAUUGUCUGUUACCAUUUAAUAUAAUUUCGAAAUCAAAAAGUCUUGUUGCAAAAUUUAAGGGAUUGAAAAAAUUUAAUAUGAAAUUCCUUUUCAGAUGUAUUUUACAAUCACGCAAGAUAUUCAAUAGAUUUUUUAUAGACGACAUUUUGAUUUUACAAUUUAAAAAGUUUAUAUUGAUGCUAUUAAAAUAAAUUCCCAAAAAAAAAUCAUGUAUCCCAUAAUAAUCCAAAAAUAUUAAUCAAAAUAGAUGU